rnacentral:rRNA from 1 species
UGGGGAAUAUUGCACAAUGGGCGAAAGCCUGAUGCAGCAACGCCGCGUGAGUGAUGAAGGCCUUCGGGUUGUAAAGCUCUGUCUUUUGGGACGAUAAUGACGGUACCAAAGGAGGAAGCCACGGCUAACUACGUGCCAGCAGCCGCGGUAAUACGUAGGUGGCAAGCGUUGUCCGGAUUUACUGGGCGUAAAGGAUGCGUAGGCGGAUUUUUAAGUGAGAUGUGAAAUACCCGGGCUUAACUUGGGUGCUGCAUUUCAAACUGGGAAUCUAGAGUGCGGGAGAGGAGAAUGGAAUUCCUAGUGUAGCGGUGAAAUGCGUAGAGAUUAGGAAGAACACCAGUGGCGAAGGCGAUUCUCUGGACCGUAACUGACGCUGAGGCAUGAAAGCGUGGGUAGCAAACAGGAUUAGAUACCCUGGUAGUCCACGCCGUAAACGAUGAGUACUAGGUGUAGGAGGUAUCGACCCCUUCUGUGCCGCAGUUAACACAAUAAGUACUCCGCCUGGGAAGUACGAUCGCAAGAUUAAAACUGCAAAGGAAUUGACGGGGUCAUAGCUG